UUACCAGCCUUGCACAGGAAGGAAAUGCCGCCUGGGAAAGAACACUUCCGGCCGGAGUAGCGGCCCGCCCCCUCGGACGGAGCAUGCGCCGCCGUGCCGAGUGCUUGAGGGGGCAGGUUUCCGGCUUGUAGAAGUGGUGGGGGGAUUCGGCGGGUGCGAGGUCCCUCACCAGAUGUGUAACCUGCUGUCCGCUGAAGCGAACCUAAUGAGACGUGGUGAAAAAAGGUCCCCCAGGGAGCAAAUCUGAAAGCCGGCUCCUCCAGAACACAGACUACAGGGGCCGAGAUGACUUUAGACGCUGGUCCCCAGCAGAUUGAUAGAUGAAGCAUAAAACAAGACCAGAUGCUGUGGUUUCCAGGAUGCACUUGGCUUCCCAUCCUUUAUAACCUGGAGCAUUUUUUGCUGUCCACCAGAGACCAGUCUCAUCAGGGAUACAGAGGUUUAAGAACAUGGAUGCUGCAGCCCAACAGAGUUGGCUUUGGAUGUAAGGUCUGUUCUUUACUAGUUCUGUGACUCAGGGCAAAUUAUUAAGCUCUCUAAGCCUCAAGUUCCUCACCUCUCAUACAGGGACAAAAGCAGUCUGCACGCCAUGGAGUCGCACUGAGAAUGAAAGGAGACAGUGCCCGGAAAGUGCUGCAUACUAUUCUUGACACUUAGCAAGUGCUCAAUAAACAUGCCGUUGAACCAGCUCAGAUGUUAUUUUGAUUAUACCGUGAAGUGAUAUUAUCUCAGUUCCAGAAGUUUAUAUGAACAAAGAUUCUUUCAUAUCUCUUUAGUAUUUGUGUGAGCACUUGUCAACCAUGGCAUAUUGUCUGGGAAUGUUUAUCUUCUCUGCCUUGUGAAGAGGCCCUGCCUCUGUCCCUUUGCCCUCUUAGUUCUCAGUUUUAAUACACCCCUCUGGGUGAAUCUUACAGAUUAGUGUUCUGUAAAGUAUUAGUGAUAGUUAUGGAAAACCUGUAAGAUUUCACCCUUGUGACUGCCCCAUACAACUAAGUUUAAAAUAUUGAUCAAUCCAUAAAAAUGACUAUCUGGAUAUUUCUCAGUUCACUGAAGACCAUCAUUAAUAUUGACUGUCAUUCCCACCUGUCUAAUAACAGCCAUUUAUUGAGCUUACAGUUUGUACUCUCAUAGAAUUCUGAAGACUCAAAUAUCUUGUGAAAAUGCAAAUCUUCAUAGAACUGUUGAUGUUUUUAAGUUAGAGGUUUAACCUGUCUUUUAUUCCCAUUCAUUAUUUGUUUUGGGAAAACAUCCUUGCCUGGAUUGCCUAGUGAGUUUUGUCCUGAAGAAAGAAAUUAGUUCAAUGGAUGAAAGGGAGAAGCUGAACCAGAUUUGAGAUUUUAGAGGUCAAUACUUUUCCAUCUCUUAUCAUUUUGCAAAUGGCGACAUUUUCAUUACCCUUGAGGACUGUCAUAACAUGAGAGCUGCUAUUUUUCAUGUAAAAUUGAAUUAAUUUGAGCAUAACAUGUUUUUUAAAAAAUAUUUACUAUGUGCAACUCUUGGAAAUGCUCCUAAAGUUGAGGGAGUUUUACUGAGCAAAUACAAUGGUAUAUCCUGUUUAGAGACUGAGUGCGU
ensembl:lncRNA